rnacentral:rRNA from 1 species
GAAAAUAACUUAGUGGCGAACGGGUGAGUAACGCGUGAGUAGCCUGCCCUGGAGUGGGGGACAACAGUUGGAAACGACUGCUAAUACCGCAUAAGCCCACGAUCCGGCAUCGGAUUGAGGGAAAAGGAUUUAUUCGCUUCAGGAUGGACUCGCGUCCAAUUAGCUAGUUGGUGAGGUAACGGCCCACCAAGGCGACGAUUGGUAGCCGGACUGAGAGGUUGAACGGCCACAUUGGGACUGAGACACGGCCCAGACUCCUACGGGAGGCAGCAGUGGGGGAUAUUGCACAAUGGGGGAAACCCUGAUGCAGCGACGCCGCGUGGAGGAAGAAGGUUUUCGGAUUGUAAACUCCUGUCGUUAGGGACGAUAAUGACGGUACCUAACAAGAAAGCACCGGCUAACUACGUGCCAGCAGCCGCGGUAAAACGUAGGGUGCAAGCGUUGUCCGGAAUUACUGGGUGUAAAGGGAGCGCAGGCGGACCGGCAAGUUGGAAGUGAAAACUAUGGGCUCAACCCAUAAAUUGCUUUCAAAACUGCUGGCCUUGAGUAGUGCAGAGGUAGGUGGAAUUCCCGGUGUAGCGGUGGAAUGCGUAGAUAUCGGGAGGAACACCAGUGGCGAAGGCGACCUACUGGGCACCAACUGACGCUGAGGCUCGAAAGCAUGGGUAGCAAACAGGAUUAGAUACCCUGGUAGUCCAUGCCGUAAACGAUGAUUACUAGGUGUUGGAGGAUUGACCCCUUCAGUGCCGCAGUUAACACAAUAAGUAAUCCACCUGGGGAGUACGACCGCAAGGUUGAAACUCAAAGGAAUUGACGGGGGCCCGCACAAGCAGUGGAGUAUGUGGUUUAAUUCGAAGCAACGCGAAGAACCUUACCAGGUCUUGACAUCCGAUGCAUAGUGCAGAGAUGCAUGAAGUCCUUCGGGACAUCGAGACAGGUGGUGCAUGGUUGUCGUCAGCUCGUGUCGUGAGAUGUUGGGUUAAGUCCCGCAACGAGCGCAACCCUUAUUGCCAGUUACUACGUAAGAGGACUCUGGCGAGACUGCCGUUGACAAAACGGAGGAAGGUGGGGAUGACGUCAAAUCAUCAUGCCCUUUAUGACCUGGGCUACACACGUACUACAAUGGCGUUUAACAAAGAGAAGCAAGACCGCGAGGUGGAGCAAAACUCAAAAACAACGUCUCAGUUCAGAUUGCAGGCUGCAACUCGCCUGCAUGAAGUCGGAAUUGCUAGUAAUCGCGGAUCAGCAUGCCGCGGUGAAUACGUUCCCGGGCCU